AUUCUAACCACCUGAAAACUUGUCUCAACCUGGUAAUUUUUUAUAGGUGAGCAAAGUUUCAGGUGCCUAGAGUU
rnacentral:pre_miRNA from 1 species